GGGGUCACCAAGGUGGGACCUGGAAGUGGUGGGGUCACCAAGAGAGAUCUGCUGGAGGUUGGGGGUCACCAAAGUGGGACCUGGUGGAGAUGUGGGGUCACCAAGGUGGAACCCAGAAAAGAUUUGGGGUCACCAAGGUGGGGCCUGGAGGACCUGGAAGAGGUGGGGCACCAAGGUGGGACCUGCUGGAGGUUGGGGAGCACCAAGGUGGGACCUGGAGGGCCUGGUGGAAGUUGGGGGUUGCUCAGGUGGGACCUGGAGCAGAUGAUGGUGUCCUGAAGAAGACUGGGGGCACCAAGAUUGGUCCUGAAGAAGAUUGAGGGCACCAAGGUGUGACCUGGAGGAGAUCGGGCGGAACCAAGGUGGGAGCUGGAGGACCUGGAGGAGAUUUGGGGGCACCAAGGUGAAACCUGGAGGAGG